GUUUGAUUCGCAGUGACAAACACUGGUUUCGUUAGACCAGAUUGUUUUACUUGAUUUGUUUGUGCUCAGUUUUUAAUUAAUGAAGUUUCCAUGCAUGCGUAAAACUUGAAGAUUAACCAUCUAUGGAAAUAAGAGAUGCAUGCUCGGUGUGCCGUCUUUGCAAUAAUGUUGGCCAUGGCUGAUUUAAUAGCGACAUUAAUUUUUCUGGAAAUUUGUUUAGCUUGCGGCGGUCCCAGCGGUCCGGCAGGCUAUAUAGCUGCACGCUAAAACAAUUCUACCAAGUACUUAUGCUAACAAAUGUUAAUUACUUUUUCAAUAUCCAUUAGUUUUUAA